rnacentral:rRNA from 1 species
GACGAACGCUGGCGGCGUGCCUAAUACAUGCAAGUAGGACGCAGUUGCGAACGGGUGAGUACCUCGUAGGUCACUACCUAUUAGAGGGGGAUAACUAUUGGACACGAUAGCUAAUACCGCAUACUAGUAGAUUGACCUGCGUUGUAUUAACUAGUACGUAGGGUAAUGGCGUACCUAGACAACGAUACAUAGCCAAGCUGAGAGGGGGAGCGGCGAAAAUGGGACUGAUGCACGGCACAGAAUACUGCGGGAGGCAGCAGUAGGGAAGCAUCGGCAAGGGGGGGAACGCUGACCGAGCAACGCCGCGUGAGUGAAGAAGGUUUUCGGAUCGGACAGCUCUGUUGAUAAGGAAGCGGUACUUAACCAGAAAGCGACGGCUAACUACGUGCCAGCCGCCGCGGUAAUAC